UCGACCUGAGUUCAGGCAAGGCUACCCGCUGAACUUAAGCAUAUCAAUAAGCGGAGGA
rnacentral:rRNA from 1 species